rnacentral:rRNA from 1 species
GACGAACGCUGGCGGCGUGCUUAACACAUGCAAGUCGAACGGAAAGGCCCUGCUUUUGUGGGGUGCUCGAGUGGCGAAAGGGUGAGUAACACGUGAGUAACCUGCCCUUGACUUUGGGAUAACUUCAGGAAACUGGGGCUAAUACCGGAUAGGAGCUCCUGCUGCAUGGUGGGGGUUGGAAAGUUUCGGCGGUUGGGGAUGGACUCGCGGCUUAUCAGCUUGUUGGUGGGGUAGUGGCUUACCAAGGCUUUGACGGGUAGCCGGCCUGAGAGGGUGACCGGCCACAUUGGGACUGAGAUACGGCCCAGACUCCUACGGGAGGCAGCAGUGGGGAAUAUUGCACAAUGGGCGGGAGCCUGAUGCGGCAACGCCGCGUGCGGGAUGACGGCCUUCGGGUUGUAAACCGCUUUCGCCUGUGACGAAGCGGGAGUGACGGUAAUGGGUAAAGAAGCACCGGCUAACUACGUG